UACGUAGGUGGCGAGCGUUGUCCGGAUUUACUGGGCGUAAAGGGAGCGUAGGCGGACUUUUAAGUGAGAUGUGAAAUACUCGGGCUCAACUUGAGUGCUGCAUUUCAAACUGGAAGUCUAGCGUGCAGGAGAGGAGAAUGGAAUUCCUAGUGUAGCGGUGAAAUGCGUAGAGAUUAGGAAGAACACCAGUGGCGAAGGCGAUUCUCUGGACCGUAACUGACGCUGAGGCUCGAAAGCGUGGGGAGCAAACAGG
rnacentral:rRNA from 1 species